rnacentral:misc_RNA from 1 species
ACGAUGCAAUGCCAAGUGGGUCCUGCCUCCUAUCGAGCUCCUUUAUGCGCUCAGCUACAUGGUUCUCAACAUCAUGCUUCUCGAAUGCCUCAUCUUAUCCAUGUUGUACGCAAAUGUCCCAUUGUAAACAUGCCAACUGAUGGAACUUUGGUAAAAAGAAACUAACGGCUGUUAAUAUUGCCUUGUCCACCAUUUGAACAUUUAUAGUUUUUCUUUAAAUCAUCUGGUAAGUGGGAAGUGGUAAGCACAGAAAGUUCCUGGAAAACUUGUAAUCGCCAUAAGCAGUAAGCAAUGCAGUCUUCAAAAAUCCCCAUGGAGCUCUCAAUGAACCUCCUAACCCUUGCAGCAGACAAUAAAACAGCCACAGCAAAAAAUGAUCAAGAGCACCAGGAUCCAAUUUCACAAGUCCCAUAACCUCCUGAGCCAACGAAGGAUCCUACUUCACCAGAAAAUCAACGUGAAGCAAAACGGUCCCUUCAAUUUCCCUAGCGGUGGAAUUCGCUAUCGAUCCCAACUCUGACCCCAAUAAAACUCAUAAUCCCUUCAAUCACCUCCCUCUAAUUGGAUCCCUUGUACGCCAAAACCAACAGUUGAUAUGCAAGCGAAGGCAACUUGAGUCACACAACUAAAGAUUAUAAGAAAAUUUCAAAAGGCUUGUAAGGGGUGAAGUGCUAGCUACUAUUAGUUAUUUUAACCUUUGGAUUCUUAAAUUAGCCUACUCAUUUACCUCUGCCCGUUCAACUUGUCAAGGUUCCCAUGUUACCGCUGCCACUGUUUUGAGGGAAUUGGGAUCGUGUGGGCCGGAUUUGGAAAGAAAGGAAGAGAUGGGUGUACAUGGAGAGGAGAGAAAGACAGAUAGGGAAGGGUGGUGUAGAGAGAGGGAAAUGAGAGACAGGACAGAGAGUGUAUACUCGGAGACGGCGACGGAAAGAGUGGAAAACGGGAGCGGGUGCGGAGGUACAACGAGAUGAGAGAAGCGUGGUAAGAUUUAGAGAAAAGGUAAGGAUGGAGGUUGUUUUGAUGGGCUAGGUUUACGAUCUCGGUGCGGGUUUGUGGUGGCUCUUGGUCUCUGCCGCUGGUGGAGGCGGUGACCAUGUUUUUGUCUCUGUAAUUUUGAC